AUUGAACGCUGGCGGCAUGCUUUACACAUGCAAGUCGAACGGUAACAGGGUGCUUGCACCGCUGACGAGUGGCGAACGGGUGAGUAAUGCGUCGGAACGUGCCGAGUAAUGGGGGAUAACGCAUCGAAAGGUGUGCUAAUACCGCAUACGCUCUGAGGAGGAAAGCUGGGGAUCGAAAGACCUGGCGUUAUUCGAGCGGCCGACGUCUGAUUAGCUAGUUGGUGAGGUAAAGGCUCACCAAGGCGACGAUCAGUAGCGGGUCUGAGAGGAUGAUCCGCCACACUGGGACUGAGACACGGCCCAGACUCCUACGGGAGGCAGCAGUGGGGAAUUUUGGACAAUGGGGGCAACCCUGAUCCAGCCAUGCCGCGUGUCUGAAGAAGGCCUUCGGGUUGUAAAGGACUUUUGUUAGGGAGCAAGUCCUGCAGGUUAAGAGCUAGUAGGGAUGAGAGUACCUAAAGAAUAAGCACCGGCUAACUACGUGCCAGCCGCCGCAGUAAAAC
rnacentral:rRNA from 1 species